AAGGGAGACCUAAUUCAGGUAGGAGACGAAAAAAAAGUAGUCCCUACCAAGAAUCAAUCCCAAAAGGUCGGAGCGAGGCGAAAUUGGCUUUCAAACUAGGUUCUGGGUUCACACAAGACCUGAAUCAGGAACAAGGGCUAUUAGCUCAGGUGGUUAGAGCGCACCCCUGAUAAGGGUGAGGUCCCUGGUUCGAGUCCAGGAUGGCCCACCUGCACAGGUGGCAAAAACAAGAGAAGCGAGGAAUCAGCACCUUAUCUUACUUAUAUAGUAAGAGAGAAUGCUGGCUCUGAGUUCAGAGUCCAGAGGAACCUUGAAAACUGCAUAGAGCUAGGUGAAAAAGCCAAAAAAGAAGACCGCAA
rnacentral:tRNA from 1 species